GACGAACCGUCCAAACGUUAUUCGGAAUCACUGGGCUUACAGAGUUCGUAGGCGGUCUGGAAAGUUGGGUGUGAAAUCCCUCGGCUCAACCGAGGAACUGCGCUUGAAACUACCAGACUCGAGGGAGAUAGAGGAAAGCGGAACUGAUGGUGGAGCGGUGAAAUGCGUUGAUAUCAUCAGGAACACCGGUGGCGAAGGCGGCUUUCUGGGUCUUACCUGACGCUGAGGAACGAAAGCCAGGGGAGCGAACGGGG
rnacentral:rRNA from 1 species